UAGACCGCCUGGGGAGUACGGCCGCAAGGUUAAAACUCAAAUGAAUUGACGGGGGCCCGCACAAGCGGUGGAGCAUGUGGUUUAAUUCGAUGCAACGCGAAGAACCUUACCUGGUCUUGACAUCCACGGAAGUUUUCAGAGAUGAGAAUGUGCCUUCGGGAACCGUGAGACAGGUGCUGCAUGGCUGUCGUCAGCUCGUGUUGUGAAAUGUUGGGUUAAGUCCCGCAACGAGCGCAACCCUUAUCCUUUGUUGCCAGCGGUUAGGCCGGGAACUCAAAGGAGACUGCCAGUGAUAAACUGGAGGAAGGUGGGGAUGACGUCAAGUCAUCAUGGCCCUUACGACCAGGGCUACACACGUGCUACAAUGGCGCAUACAAAGAGAAGCGACCUCGCGAGAGCAAGCGGACCUCAUAAAGUGCGUCGUAGUCCGGAUUGGAGUCUGCAACUCGACUCCAUGAAGUCGGAAUCGCUAGUAAUCGUGGAUCAGAAUGCCACGGUGAAUACGUUCCCGGGCCUUGUACACACCGCCCGUCACACCAUGGGAGUGGGUUGCAAAAGAAGUAGGUAGCUUAACCUUCGGGAGGGCGCUUACCACUUUGUGAUUCAUGACUGGGGUGAAGUCGUAACAAGGUAACCGUAGGGGAACCUGCGGUUGGAUCACCUCCUUACCUGAAAGAA
rnacentral:rRNA from 2 species